rnacentral:rRNA from 1 species
GACGAACGCUGGCGGCGUGCUUAACACAUGCAAGUCGAACGGAAAGGCCCUGCUUUUGUGGGGUGCUCGAGUGGCGAACGUGUGAGUAACACGUGAGUAACCUGCCCUUGACUUUGGGAUAACUUCAGGAAACUGGGGCUAAUACCGGAUAGGAGCUCCUGCUGCAUGGUGGGGGUUGGAAAGUUUCGGCGGUUGGGGAUGGACUCGCGGCUUAUCAGCUUGUUGGUGGGGUAGUGGCUUACCAAGGCUUUGACGGGUAGCCGGCCUGAGAGGGUGACCGGCCACAUUGGGACUGAGAUACGGCCCAGACUCCUACGGGAGGCAGCAGUGGGGAAUAUUGCACAAUGGGCGGAAGCCUGAUGCAGCAACGCCGCGUGCGGGAUGACGGCCUUCGGGUUGUAAACCGCUUUCGCCUGUGACGAAGCGUGAGUGACGGUAAUGGGUAAAGAAGCACCGGCUAACUACGU